rnacentral:rRNA from 1 species
CAGUAGCCGCGGUAAAACGGAGGGGGCUAGCGUUGUUCGGAAUUACUGGGCGUAAAGCGCACGUAGGCGGCUUGGUAAGUUAGAGGUGAAAGCCCAGGGCUCAACCCUGGAAUUGCCUUUAAGACUGCCGAGCUAGUAGGUGAGAGAGGUGAGUGGAAUUCCGAGUGUAGAGGUGAAAUUCGUAGAUAUUCGGAAGAACACCAGUGGCGAAGGCGGCUCACUGGCUCAUUCUAGACGCUGAGGUGCGAAAGCGUGGGGAGCAAACAGGAUUAGAUACCCCCGUAGUCCCUGUCUCUUAUAC